CCUACGGGAGGCAGCAGUGGGGAAUAUUGGGCAAUGGGCGAAAGCCUGACCCAGCAACGCCGCGUGAAGGAAGAAGGCUUUCGGGUUGUAAACUUCUUUUGACAGGGAAGAGCAGAAGACGGUACCUGUCGAAUAAGCCACGGCUAACUACGGGCCAGCAGGCGCGGUAAUACGUAGGUGGCAAGCGUUGUCCGGAGUUACUGGGUGGAAAGGGCGUGGAGCCGGGCUGACAAGUCAGAUGUGAAAUCCGGGGGCUCAACCCCCGAAUUGCAUUUGAAACUGUUGGUCUUGAGUAUCGGAGAGGCAGGCGGAAUUCCUAGUGUAGCGGUGAAAUGCGUAGAUAUUAGGAGGAACACCAGUGGCGAAGGCGGCCUGCUGGACGACAACUGACGGUGAGGCGCGAAAGCGUGGGGAGCAAACAGGAUUAGAUACCCUAGUAGUC
rnacentral:rRNA from 1 species